GAUGAACGCUGGCGGCGUGCCUAGUACAUGCAGGUCGAGCGAACAGACGAGGAGCUUGCUCCUCUGACGUUAGCGGCGGACGGGUGAGUAACACGUGGAUAACCUACCUAUAAGACUGGGAUAACUUCGGGAAACCGGAGCUAAUACCGGAUAAUAUAUUGAACCGCAUGGUUCAAUAGUGAAAGACGGUUUUGCUGUCACUUAUAGAUGGAUCCGCGCCGCAUUAGCUAGUUGGUAAGGUAACGGCUUACCAAGGCAACGAUGCGUAGCCGACCUGAGAGGGUGAUCGGCCACACUGGAACUGAGACACGGUCCAGACUCCUACGGGAGGCAGCAGUAGGGAAUCUUCCGCAAUGGGCGAAAGCCUGACGGAGCAACGCCGCGUGAGUGAUGAAGGUCUUCGGAUCGUAAAACUCUGUUAUUAGGGAAGAACAAAUGUGUAAGUAACUAUGCACGUCUUGACGGUACCUAAUCAGAAAGCCACGGCUAACUACGUG
rnacentral:rRNA from 1 species